rnacentral:hammerhead_ribozyme from 1 species
GUUCUGCUGAAGAGUCCAAAAACUAGGACGAAACAGUUGUCUAGUAC